rnacentral:rRNA from 1 species
UUCGGUCCCUAUCUGCCGUGGGCGCUGGAGAAAUGAGGGGGGCUGCUCCUAGUACGAGAGGACCGGAGUGGACGCAUCACCGGUGUUCGGGUUGUCAUGCCAAUGGCACUGCCCGGUAGCUAAAUGCGGAAGAGAUAAGUGCUGAAAGCAUCUAAGCACGAAACUUGCCCCGAGAUGAGUUCUCCCUGACUCCUUGAGAGUCCUGAAGGAACGUUGAAGACGACGACGUUGAUAGGCCGGGUGUGUAAGCGCAGCGAUGCGUUGAGCUAACCGGUACUAAUGAACCGUGAGGCUUAACCUUACAACGCCGAAG